rnacentral:rRNA from 1 species
AACGAACGCUGGCGGCGCGUCUUAAGCAUGCAAGUCGAGCGGCAAGGCGGGGCAACCCGCCCUAGAGCGGCGGACUGGUGAGUAACACGUGGGUGAUCUGCCUCUGGGUUGGGGAUAGCCGCUAGAAAUAGCGGAUAAUACCGAAUACGUUCGCGGGACUGUGGUUCUGCGAGGAAAGGUCCGGUUGGACCGCCCGGAGAUGAGCCCGCGCCUGAUUAGCUUGUUGGCGGGGUAAUGGCCCACCAAGGCGAUGAUCAGUAGGCGGCCUGAGAGGGUGUACGCCAACAUGGGGACUGAGAUACGGCCCAAACUCCUACGGGAGGCAGCAGCUAAGAAUAUUCCGCAAUGGACGAAAGUCUGACGGAGCGACGCCGCGUGGAUGAAGAAGGCCGAAAGGUUGUAAAAUCCUUUUGCUGGUGAAGAAUAAGCGUGACAGGAAAUGGUCGCGUGAUGACAUGAUCCGGUGAAUAAGCCCCGGCAAACUACGUGCCAGCCGCCGCAGUAAAAC